AUGCCAUGUCUGAAUUUAACAGAAUCCUAUAACAACUUCAGUCCCUCUGAAAUUGAUAAUCUUGUUGAUAGUGCUGCAGGCUCACUACGAUCAACAUUAGACUCUAUCACUCCUAUAAAAAGGAAAUUAUCAAAACAUAGUAGAAUAGCACCUUGGUAUAACCACCAAACCCGCCAGUUAAAGCAAAUAGCUAGGAAAUCUGAAAGGAAAGGGCGCUCUUCCAAAUUAUCAGAAUAUCGCUCAAUUUGGCAAGAUAAUCUUAAAAUUUAUAGAAAGGCCCUCCGUAAUGCCAGAGGAGCCUAUUACUCAACACUAAUAGAAGAAAAUAAGAAUAACCCUAGGUUCCUCUUCAGCACUGUAGCCAGGCUGACAGAGAGUCACAGCUCUAUUGAGCCACAUAUCCCCAUAAACUUAAGUAGCAAUGACUUCAUUAGCUUCUUCUAUAAUAAAAUUAUUACUAUUAGAGAGAAAAUUAAUCACCAACUGCCAUCAACAGUUAUCAGUGGCUCUCCAAGUUCAGGGACUGCCAAUGUAAACUUAGAUAUAUAUUUAGACUGUUUUUCUGCUAUCGAUCUUCAUCAGUUAACUUCAAUCAUUUCUUCAUCGAAGCCAUCAACCUGUCUAUUAGACCCGAUCCCAACUAGGCUGUUUAAAGAAGUUGUUCCCUUAAUUGGCACUUCUUUACUGGAUAUGAUUAAUCUUUCUUUAUUAUCAGGAUAUGUACCACAGUCCUUUAAAGUAGCUGUAAUUAAACCCCUUCUUAAAAAGCCCACUCUUGACCCAGGGGUUUUAGCCAACUAUAGACCGAUUUCUAACCUCCCCUUCCUCUCUAAGAUUCUGGAGAAAGUAGUCGCCAAAGAGUUGUGUGACUUUCUACAUAACAAUAGUUUAUUUGAGGAUUUUCAGUCAGGAUUUAGAGUUCAUCAUAGCACAGAGACAGCUCUGGUUAAAGUUAAUGACCUUCUGACUGCUUCUGACAAUGGUCUCUGUACUUGUAUUAUUAGAUCUUAG
rnacentral:lncRNA from 15 species